CGCGUAGGCGGCGGACCAAGUUAGGCGUGAAAGCCCUGGGCUCAACCCGGGAACUGCGCUUAAGACUGGUUUGCUUGAGUCCGGGAGAGGGUGGUGGAACUCCCAGUGUAGAGGUGAAAUUCGUAGAUAUUGGGAAGAACACCGGUGGCGAAGGCGGCCACCUGGACCGGUACUGACGCUGAGGUGCGAAAGCGUGGGGAGCAAACA
rnacentral:rRNA from 1 species